ACGUGGAAACGCGAUUUCCCGAGCUGCAGCCAGUCGUCUGAUCUCUUCGGCCAGGCCCGAGUCUCACGGGGCAACAACGAGCGUUUGCAUGACCACUUCCGCUUGCAAGCCGAGAGCACAGUCAGCUAGUCCUUCGCCCGACUCUUGUCUGACACACUAAACUGUUAAUGAAAGCGAACAGCUCGAAUGCACCUUCCGAUUCCUCCUCCACCAAACACGUUCGCUUUCAUCAACGAGCACAUGUGACGGGUCAGCCUCAGUCAGGCGAAUAUCAGUCUGUCGCACCUCCAGCUUGCCGCAUAGUCUUCGCGCUAAUGAGGAGGCCGGUGUUUUCUAAUCCUCUUUGCAAAUUGAUCAGACCAACGCGGGGAGAGACGAGUAGCAGUGGAAGGCAGCAACGUUGAAUUUAGAGUUUGGGACAAAGUGGAUGACUCGGAGGCUCCUGGUGGCUCUGCUGAUAAGCUGGUAGCGAUAGUUGGUCAGCUGGAGUAGACGUCUUGACUUGAAAUAUUAGAGUAGCAAGAGUAGGUUUUGGGUUUUGUUCGAUUAGACGCAUUCUCUUCAAUAUUGCACUGAGUAGCGAUAUUUGAUGUCAUACUUCACUCAAAUUGGAUGCUGUGAAGUAUUGGGAGUAGCAUUGUUAGUGUUAGGAAUAAAGUAUAUUAGUAUGUGGCUUGGGGAGUGAAUUCAUAUCACACUGAAUAUUUAUGUGUUAAGAUGACUCAAACUGAGCCAUGCAAAGUGUUAGAAAUUGUUCUUUCUACUAGAAAUUCUUGGUAUUCUAAAGAUCACUGAUACAGCUUGUGGAAAUCAGUGGGCCACAAUAUCAAACUGUAUGUUUGUCUGGUGUUGUAUGUAGUUCAAUCUAUUGGAAAUCACAUCUUGUAUCCUCUUUGUUGAUAUCCUGAAAUUCACUCAAGUGGCUUGAGACUUUGUUGCAUUGAAUAUUUAGAAUGCAAGCUUGAACUGGUUCACAGGAAAUUUGUUUGGUAAAAGGGUUCUUACUGCUAUCUUAAAGAUCAUUGAAGAAUAUUGGAAAAAUUCAAGUACUAUGAUGUCAUACAGAUAGGUAUCUUCAUUGAACUAGAUUUUCUUCUAUCAGGAAAAGUGUCCUCUUUAGUAUCUUAGAAUUUAUUGAGUUACUUUAGAAACUUGAGUCUUACUUUGGAAGUUGAAUGUUGAUACAAAAGGCAUGAUACAUGCUUUGCAACAACUAUUUAUCUUUGAGUACUUCAUUGUCUUGAUAAUCAAUUAACACAAUCUGACCAUCAUUGGAUUACUUGAGCAAUCUACAUGUAUAAGUAAUGACAAUAGAAUUUAAGUACACUAUGUAUCACAGAAAGAGGAAUAUAUCUUUCAAGCAUGAUUUAGAUAAAAUCGACUGCGCUAAUUGGGCAUGCCGUCUAUUACAAAUGAGCUACUUAUGUGCUCUUGCCAGUCCAAUAUGAUCAAUUACUCUCGUCUACGCUAUGUUUAUCAAUUGUAACAGGCAAUUAGCUUCCAACUGUUCGUGCAUGGCCAACUUGUGUAAGUCUUUGUUGUAAGAACGAUAAUUCCAAUUGUUUUUUCCUCCAGAAAAUUAUACUCUUAUAAUCUUGAAAUAUUUGAAAGACGACUAUUCAAAUUUCAAAAAUGUCUCAAAUUUCUCAUCUUAUUACGUCGAAUAAUGUUGAAUGGUAUAACGAAUGAAAAAAUUUCAAUUCACUUGAAAUAACUUAUUGGAAGAUAAGGUUGUCUUGUUUGACAAAUAAAUUACUUUCAGGUAAUUUAUUUGCCAAAUAUUUGGUCAUUUCAAAUAAGGAAAGAAAUAAAAUAAAAGCCUUAUUUUAAUAAUUAUCCGAAUAAAAGCUCAUAACUUUGUAUGACGCGCGAAUUUAAGAGCCUGUUAAUGAUACGAGAAUCUGUCAUUUAUUUCCUAUUGAAUAUUCAUUGCCCUUAAUACCGAUAAAACCAGUUUGCUACUUGAGAUUUCGGUUGGCAACUAAGUGAUUGCGGAUUUUGUCAUUACCAUCUAAUGAUAAAAUCCGCAAUCACUUAGUUGCCAAACCAAUAUUUCUAUGUCUUAUUAUCAAGAAUAUUAAUUACAAAAUAUGGUGUUGUGCAUAAUAUGUCAUUGAACGAUAUUACGCACGUAGUCUGAUCAUGGAAUUAUACUACACUUGUACUAUCACCUAUUGAUCUGCCAAGAAACUUAAUUACACACUACAAUAGUAUAAUUCUUAUCUGGAGGAAAGCUCCAUCAUAUGUGGAGUUUUUGGUAUUAUAAUGACUCCCAAUUGCACGUACAUUUCAAUUUUCUAGACGUAUCCUCCUCAUAAAAGAUAGUAAAAAUUUCCCUUCUAAAAAAAAAAAAAAAAAAAAAAAAAAGAAAAAAAAAAGAAAAAAAAAAGAAAAAAUCUCCAUAAACUGCAUUAAUAAUUUAUCUGUUUUAGUGAGGAGAAAAAGAAAGGAUAGAGGAAAUUGAUCAACAGACUGUGAAUUUUGAAGCGUUUAUGAGAAACUUGCAGUUUCUAAUGAAAUAUUCAAUGUAACGUAUUUGUUAUAAUAUUCGGAUAGGAUGAGGAAAAACUGAAUCUGUAUAAUCAUUCAUAGUUUAUUGAUCAAUCAUGCGACGAGUUCAUUUAGGAUACUAGAGGUAACUCGAGGUGUAGUAAAUGUGAGAAUUUAUUAAGAACUGUAUAUCUGGUGUACGACAUAUUUGCACAUGUUAAAUUAAUUAAAUAAAUAUAAAAAUCACGCGAAAUCCUAAAUGAAACGUUAGCCAGCCAACUGUGUCAUUAAAAGCAUCUUCUUCAUUCUUUUUUUCAAUUAUUUUAUCCUUGCUUUUUUUUUUAUUCCUUUCGCGUAACGACUUCUAUGAAUAUGAACGUGUCAUGAUCUCUGAUAUGAUUUAUAACUUUGGUUAGGAAAAAUAUAUAUCUCUAUUUUUAAUAGACGCAUGACCCAACGCUAAUUGCCUCGAACUUGUAUCAGAAAAAUAAAACGAAAUUUGUUGA